CCGCCGGCUUGGCUAAGGCCUUCCGGGGCGACCAUGAAAGUGUGGUCAGCCGUGCCCUGCCUCCUUCGGGAAACACACAACUGGGUUCGUGAAACAGGGCGUAGUGAGGCUGCGGCCAAUAUCGAGACCUGCGCGCGGC
rnacentral:sRNA from 12 species